rnacentral:misc_RNA from 1 species
GAUGAAGAACGUAGCGAAAUGCGAUAAGUAAUGCGAAUUGCAGAAUUUCCGUGAGUCAUCGAAUCUUUGAACGCACAUUGCGCCCACUGGUAUUCCGGUGGGCAUGCCUGUUCGAGCGUCAUUAUCCUCCCUCAAACCUCGGGUUUGGUGUUGGACCCAAGUUGUGUGAACAACUGGUCUUAAAGACAAUGACGGCGUCCGUGGGACCCUCGGUGCAACGAGCUUUUAGGAGCACGCGUCGAGUUUCAAGGACCUUCCGGGCCGGUCUCCUUUACCAUUUUACAAGGUUGACCUCGGAUCAGGCAGGAAUACCCGCUGAACUUAAGCAUAUCAAUAAGCGGAGGA